UACGAAGGGUGCAAACGUUGCUCGGAAUUAUUGGGCGUAAAGCGCACGUAGGCGGCCCAGCAAGUCGGAAGUGAAAUCCCACGGCUCAACCAUGGAAGUGCUUUCGAAACUGCUGGGCUUGAGUACAAAAGAGGAUCGCGGAAUUCCCGGUGUAGAGGUGAAAUUCGUAGAUAUCUGGAGGAACACCGGUGGCGAAGGCGGCAUCCUGGACCAACACUGACGCUGAGGAGCGAAAGCCAGGGGAGCAAACGGG
rnacentral:rRNA from 1 species